CCGGCGCAUGCGCUCGUCGCUGGCUCGGCUGCGUACCGCCACCAACCAUAGCUUUAGCGGAUGGAAGAUGUAUGCCGCAGCGUCUCUCCCGAUCUCUUUUUCCGAAUGGAUUUGAGGGACCCUUCAGCCCUUCACAGGAACUUUUUCUUGGAUCUGAUACAGAAGAGAUUGAGAAUUGGGGACUAUUCAUUAGAGGGAUUAGAGUUGGUAUCAUGAUCUUCUGGAAGUAUGCGGUAUGAGAGAGAUAAUGGUAUAUUCAGUAGAGCUGAUAUCCAUUGCCAAAUGAAAAAGAACUGAUCUUCCUGCGUGCACAACGGACGGAAACAGGGGAUGCAACGUCGAGCUUCCGGUCGUUCUCCGGCGCGAUGCUGCUGGCCAUUCGUUGCUAGAGGAGACAUGUAAAGGAUUCCGCACGUGCGCGCGCUCAGCUGGAUGUUUUUUUAGAUUAUUUUCAUCCGUAAUUUAUGUUUACAAGUUUUGGUGUUCUUGGUCAUUUUCCAUGCCCGCCAUGGAAAUCUGUUCUUCUUUUUCUGUUGUUUUACUUUCGAAUUGGUGUUGCAGGGAUAGAUAUAAGGACUGUAUGAAAAGAUUUGCGUUGUCAAUUUUGCUUUUUUGAGUUGUUUCUACCGCGGAUUCCCAUGUUAUUUUGUCGUUGGCGGAAGUUGUGUAUGGCGGCUGACUGUAAGCUGCGAUUUCUUGUAAUCCGGUCAAACUGUGUAAUUAAGUUACAUGUU